AUAUGAGAAAUUGUGGGUAAUGUGAAUGACAAAUCCUAAUCUCUUUCCACCGUUCAUCUCAUGCCGUUGUCCUACAUCUCAGGUCACUGUCGUUCAUCCCCUCGUUGCUGCUCAUCUCCUCGUGCUACAAGAAAUAUUGUUGUUGCUGCCUUCAAUGAGCUUCUACGAUUUGGUUCUCGAUCAGGCUUCGAUUUAAAGAUUUGUUGCCGCCGCUUAAUUCACUGCCAUCGUUCAUCUUCUCACUACCGCUCAUCCCCUCGCCACAUCUAGCAACAUCAUGUCGCUGCCUUCAAUGAGCUUCUAUGAUCUUGUUAUAGCUUCGAACUGAAGAUACAUGAGAAGUAGGCUUACACUAAAGAAGGUGAAUGCAGCAAUCAAUGACAAAGGGCAAAAGAAGCUCGAUGUGCUUUCGAAUCAUGUGUUUGUCAAGGCUUUGGUUAGCAGUGGCCAUAUGGCAAAAGAAGCUUUAAUUUAUUUAGUACUUGCUUUGUUUUUUAAUUUUUGUUUUUUUUAUUGGUUAUUAGUCACUCAGUUUUCGAGAGUCGAAUAAUGCUGGGAAUCACCUUAUUGCUGCUCUUUCUCUAGUUAGUCUCUUCUUUUUUUUUCUUUAAUUUUCUUAUCCAUUGUUUUACAAUACCAUCUAAGGAUGCUAUUAAAUGCGUACCUUUAGUAUGAUUAGUGUAGAAGUUAGAUACUUUUAGGGAUUUGGCAAUAUAUGAUUGAUGAAUAUGUAGGAUAGAUGAAGUGAUACUGAAAAUGUGUCCAAGUUAAACUCUUUUUGUCUAGUGAAGUGUGAUUAUUA